rnacentral:rRNA from 1 species
UACGAAGGGGGCUAGCGUUGCUCGGAAUCACUGGGCGUAAAGGGUGCGUAGGCGGGUCUUUAAGUCAGGGGUGAAAUCCUGGAGCUCAACUCCAGAACUGCCUUUGAUACUGAAGAUCUUGAGUUCGGGGAGAGGUGAGUGGAACUGCGAGUGUAGAGGUGAAAUUCGUAGAUAUUCGCAAGAACACCAGUGGCGAAGGCGGCUCACUGGCCCGAUACUGACGCUGAGGCACGAAAGCGUGGGUAGCAAACGGG